rnacentral:rRNA from 1 species
CAGCCGCCGCGGUAAUACAGAGGUCUCAAGCGUUGUUCGGAUUCAUUGGGCGUAAAGGGUGCGUAGGUGGCGCCAUAAGUCAGGUGUGAAAUCUCGGGGCUCAACCCCGAAACUGCACUUGAUACUGUGGUGCUUGAGUACUGGAGAGGAGAUUGGAAUUUACGGUGUAGCAGUGAAAUGCGUAGAUAUCGUAAGGAAGACCAGUGGCGAAGGCGAAUCUCUGGACAGUUACUGACACUGAGGCACGAAGGCCAGGGAAGCAAACGGGAUUAGAUACCCGCGUAGUCCCUGUCUCUUAUAC